AAUGGUGUAAUUUAAACAAAAUAUCGCUCUGCAAAGGUGAGUUUGCUCUUUGAGUCGCCAUUU
rnacentral:tRNA from 1 species